rnacentral:snRNA from 1 species
AAAGCAGCAAAAUAUGAUACCAUGAUCACUAAGGUGGUUCUCCCAGGGCGAAGCUCAUCCAUUGCACUCCGGGUGUGCUGACCCCUGCGAUUUCCCCAAAUGCAGGAAACUCAACUGCAUAAUUUGUGUUAGUAGGGGACUGCGUUCGCGCUCUCCCUUG